rnacentral:rRNA from 1 species
AUUGAACGCUGGCGGCAGGCCUAACACAUGCAAGUCGAGCGAGCGGCGGACGGGUGAGUAAUGUCUGGGAAACUGCCUGAUGGAGGGGGAUAACUACUGGAAACGGUAGCUAAUACCGCAUACCAUCAGAUGUGCCCAGAUGGGAUUAGCUAGUAGGUGGGGUAACGGCUCACCUAGGCGACGAUCCCUAGCUGGUCUGCGAGGAUGACCAGCCACACUGGAAAUCAUACACGGUCCAGCCUCCUACGGGAGGCAGAAUUGGGGAAUAUUGCACAAUGGGCGCAAGCCUGAUGCAGCCAUGCGGCGUGUGUGAAUAAGGCCUUCGGGUUGUAAAGCACUUUCAGCGGGGAGGCGUUACCCGCAGAAGAAGCACCGGCUAACUCCGUGCCAGCAGCCGCGGUAAUAC